rnacentral:rRNA from 1 species
ACACAUGCAAGUCGAGGGGUAUUAGUUUUCGGACUAAGAGACCGGCGCACGGGUGCGUAACGCGUAUGCAAUCUACCUUUUACAGAGGGAUAGCCCAGAGAAAUUUGGAUUAAUACCUCAUAGUAUAGCAGUUUCGCAUGAAACCACUAUUAAAGUCACAACGGUAAAAGAUGAGCAUGCGUCCCAUUAGCUAGUUGGUAAGGUAACGGCUUACCAAGGCUACGAUGGGUAGGGGUCCUGAGAGGGAGAUCCCCCACACUGGUACUGAGACACGGACCAGACUCCUACGGGAGGCAGCAGUGAGGAAUAUUGGACAAUGGGCGCAAGCCUGAUCCAGCCAUGCCGCGUGCAGGAUGACGGUCCUAUGGAUUGUAAACUGCUUUUGUACGAGAAGAAACACUCCUAUGUAUAGGAGCUUGACGGUAUCGUAAGAAUAAGGAUCGGCUAACUCCGUGCCAGCAGCCGCGGUAAUACGGAGGAUCCAAGCGUUAUCCGGAAUCAUUGGGUUUAAAGGGUCCGUAGGCGGUUUAGUAAGUCAGUGGUGAAAGCCCAUCGCUCAACGGUGGAACGGCCAUUGAUACUGCUGAACUUGAAUUAUUAGGAAGUAACUAGAAUAUGUAGUGUAGCGGUGAAAUGCUUAGAGAUUACAUGGAAUACCAAUUGCGAAGGCAGGUUAC